AUGGCUGGUGAAGAGUCCCACUGGACUGGAUCUCUUCGACCAAGAGUCUUAAUGCUCGGGGACUCUGAGUCCUACGUGUCUAGGACUCUGUGAUUGAGAAUCAGGAUUCUUUGAUCACGAGUUCCACACAUUUUGGUUACCGAGGUCAAGAGUCCCACUGAUUUGGGACUCUUCGAUCAAGGUUUCAUAUCGAUAGACUUUGAUGCCCGAUUGUCCAUCGAAUUUGGACUCAGUAUUUAUAA
rnacentral:lncRNA from 1 species